ACUCCUACGGGAGGCAGCAGUCGGGAAUGGAUUGCGACAAUGGGCGCAAGCCUGAUGCAGCCAUGCCGCGUGUAUGAAGAAGGCCUUCGGGUUGUAAAGUACUUUCAGCAGUGAGGAAGGUGGGUAUGUUAAUAGCAUACUCAUUUGACGUUAGCUGCAGAAGAAGCACCGGCUAACUCCGUGCCAGCAGCCGCGGUAAUACGGAGGGUGCGAGCGUUAAUCGGAAUUACUGGGCGUAAAGCGCAUGCAGGUGGUUUGUUAAGUCAGAUGUGAAAGCCCGGGGCUCAACCUCGGAAUUGCAUUUGAAACUGGCAAACUAGAGUACUGUAGAGGGGGGUAGAAUUUCAGGUGUAGCGGUGAAAUGCGUAGAGAUCUGAAGGAAUACCGGUGGCGAAGGCGGCCCCCUGGACAGAUACUGACACUCAGAUGCGAAAGCGUGGGGAGCAAACAGGAUUAGAUACCCUGGUAGCUACGAGU
rnacentral:rRNA from 1 species